UUACGGCCAUAACACAUUGAAACAUUGAUUCCCAUACAAUCACUGAAGUUAAGCUAUGUCAAGCCUGGUCAGUACCUAAAUGGGUGAUUGCUUGGGAAUACCAAGUUCUGUAAG